rnacentral:rRNA from 1 species
CGCGUAGGCGGUUCGACAAGUCCCGCGUGAAAGCCCCCGGCUCAACUGGGGAACGGCGCGGGAAACUGUCGGGCUUGAGUUCGGGAGAGGGAAGCGGAAUUCCGGGUGUAGCGGUGAAAUGCGUAGAUAUCCGGAGGAACACCGGUGGCGAAGGCGGCUUCCUGGACCGACACUGACGCUGAGGCGCGAAAGCUAGGGGAGCAAACG